rnacentral:tRNA from 1 species
GGUGUGGCUCAGUUGGUAGAGCAUGGUGUUUGCAACGCCAUGGUUCUGGGUUUGAUUCCCACGGGGGACCA